UUCGGUGAUUAUAGCAAGAGGGAAACACCCGGUCCCAUCCCGAACCCGGAAGUUA
rnacentral:rRNA from 2 species